GGGCAGGCAGCACGGGGAGGUGGGCAGGACGGGGUGCAGCAGAUGGGGUCAUGAUGGUAGCAGGAGGGGGCAAGGGCAUGGGCAUGGCACGAAGGGGCAACCCUCAUGGCAACCCUCAUGCCCUUCUUUCAAGGGCAACCCUCAUGGCAGACAUUCUGACACCAGAGGAGGAAUCAGCCUUGAGGAAACAGGGAUAUACCCCUCUCCUGUGCUGUUGCAGGAGCUUUCACCCACCAGCCCUGACCACUCCUCCGCAGGUCAAAUGAGAAAUGGUUUGUGUUCUGAUGAGACAGAAGCUUCAGGCGAGCCAUCAGCACUGAGUAAGGGGACAUCAGCCAGCUCCAUUGGAGCAUGAGGGAGAGAAAAUCAGAUUGGAUCCACCCAGGUACUACAAUUGUUUCAUCAUCCUCGCUAAAUGAGGUUCAUAUCUCCAGAUAGAGAAGCCAUGAACUUGGAGGGAAAUGCUACUCUCAUGUAUAUGUAGUCUCCAUCGGGUGAGUAAACAAACCAGAGCUGGUCUUGUAAGCAACAUAAGGGAAGUUAGGCAUUGGUUAGUCUUGAUGGAUCAGACAUGCAAAAGAGGUUCAGCUGGCAGUCAUCAGUAUUACAAAAUACUCUGCCCCCUUGUCUCCUCACUAACCCUAUGUGGCCUUCUAGUCAUACAGAACAAUUAAGUUGACAAUAUCAUCCCCUAGGCACUAGAGCAGGGGUCAGCAAACUUUUCAAACCAAAGAACCAAACUACAUCAAAAUU